UCCGUAGGGUGCCAGCGUUGUCCGGAAUUAUUGGGCGUCAAGAGCUCGUAGGCGGUCUGUCGAGUCUGCUGUGAAAACUCAGGGCUUAACCCUGAGCUUGCAGUGGGUACGGGCAGACUAGAGUGCGGUAGGGGAGACUGGAAUUCCUGGUGUAGCGGUGAAAUGCGCAGAUAUCUGGAGGAACACCGGUGGCGAAGGCGGCAUCCUGGACCGGCAUUGACGCUGAGGCGCGAAAGCGUGGGGAGCAAACAGG
rnacentral:rRNA from 1 species